GGCGAACGGGUGAGUAACACGUGAGUAACCUGCCCUUGACUUUGGGAUAACUUCAGGAAACUGGGGCUAAUACCGGAUAGGAGCUCCUGCUGCAUGGUGGGGAUUGGAAAGUUUCGGCGGUUGGGGAUGGACUCGCGGCUUAUCAGCUUGUUGGUGGGGUAGUGGCUUACCAAGGCUUUGACGGGUGGCCGGCCUGAGAGGGUGGCCGGCCACAUUGGGACUGAGACGCGGCCCAG
rnacentral:rRNA from 1 species